rnacentral:rRNA from 1 species
UACGGAGGGUGCAAGCGUUAUCCGGGUCACUGGGUUUAAAGGGUGUGUAGGCGGGCGUUUAAGUCAGUGGUGAAAUCUCCGAGCUUAACUUGGAAACUGCCAUUGAUACUAUUCGUCUUGAAUUCUGUUGAGGUGGGCGGAAUAUGUCAUGUAGCGGUGAAAUGCAUAGAUAUGACAUAGAACACCGAUUGCGAAGGCAGCUCACUAAGCAGAUAUUGACGCUGAGGCACGAAAGCGUGGAGAUCAAACAGG